rnacentral:rRNA from 1 species
UGGGGAAUUUGGACAAUGGGGAAACCCUGAUCCAGCCAUCCCGCGUGUGCGAUGAAGGCCUUCGGGUUGUAAAGCACUUUUGGCAGGAAAGAAACGUCGCGGGUUAAUACCCCGCGGAACUGACGGUACCUGCAGAAUAAGCACCGGCUAACUACGUGCCAGCAGCCGCGGUAAUACGUAGGGUGCAAGCGUUAAUCGGAAUUACUGGGCGUAAAGCGUGCGCAGGCGGUUCGGAAAGAAAGAUGUGAAAUCCCAGAGCUUAACUUUGGAACUGCAUUUUUAACUACCGGGCUAGAGUGUGUCAGAGGGAGGUGGAAUUCCGCGUGUAGCAGUGAAAUGCGUAGAUAUGCGGAGGAACACCGAUGGCGAAGGCAGCCUCCUGGGAUAACACUGACGCUCAUGCACGAAAGCGUGGGGAGCAAACAGGAUUAGAUACCCUGGUAGUCCACGCCCUAAACGAUGUCAACUAGCUGUUGGGGUCUUCGGACCUUGGUAGCGCAGCUAACGCGUGAAGUUGACCGCCUGGGGAGUACGGUCGCAAGAUU